rnacentral:rRNA from 1 species
CGACUCUCGGCAACGGAUAUCUCGGCUCUCGCAUCGAUGAAGAACGUAGCGAAAUGCGAUACUUGGUGUGAWUUGCAGAAUCCCGUGAACCAUCGAGUCUUUGAACGCAAGUUGCGCCCGAAACCAUUCGGUUGAGGGCACGUCUGCCUGGGCGUCACRC